rnacentral:rRNA from 1 species
GGAUUAGAUACCCUGGUAGUCCACACCGUAAACGAUGAGUGCUAGUUGUCUGCAGGCAUGCCUGUAGGUGACGCAGCUAACGCAUUAAGCACUCCGCCUGGGGAGUACGGCCGCAAGGUUAAAACUCAAAGAAAUUGACGGGGGCCCGCACAAGCGGUGGAGCAUGUGGUUUAAUUCGAAGCAACGCGCAGAACCUUACCUACGCUUGACAUGCCUGGACGGCUCCGAGAGAUCGGUUUCUCCCUUCGGUGCCAGUGCACAGGUGCUGCAUGGCUGUCGUCAGCUCGUGUUG